rnacentral:rRNA from 1 species
GUGCCAGCCGCCGCGGUAAUACCGGCAGUGGGAGUGAUGGCCGAUCUUAUUGGGCCUAUAGCGUCCGUAGCUGGCUGAACAAGUCCGUUGCCAAAUCUGUCCGCAUAACGGGCAGGCGUCCAGCGGAAACUGUCCAGCAUGGGACCCCUUGACCUGAGGCCUACGUCUGGCCUACCAGUGAAUCCUGUAAUCCUCCACGGACCGCCGGUGGCGUUUGCGCCUCAGGAGAACGGAUCCGACAGUGAGGCUCGAAAGCCAGGGUCUCGAACCGGAUUAGAUAGGCCGGUAGUCC